UGUAUUGGGGACCAUAACCUUCCUGAUGUGUUAACUAAUAGGGUUCCCAUUAUCCCCUAUGGGUUAACCUGAUGGGUAUCCACCCAUUAAACCCAUAUCCGUUAUAACCUUUUAGAAAUCUAAGGGGUGUCAGUAAUUAAAUCACUUAUAAUCAAAUAUAUGAUGUUCAUCGUAAGAGUAGAAUGAAGAGGAAGAUGGAGGAAGAUGGAGGAAGGAUGAAACUAGGGAUUUUGGAUCCCAUUUGGGUUUGGCCAGAGAAGAACCCGUAUACCCUAUUCUUCUCACCUAAUCCCCAUUUCCCUUUUUUAUUUGUU
rnacentral:lncRNA from 1 species